AGACGACAUGAGCACAAGAACACGCACACUUCCGUGACCAAUUCAUACUCUGUAUAAAUAAAAUCUCCAAUAUAUCACAUGUUGAUCUCCUAGCCACACACGGACACACCUAGUCACCAAAGCGCAUACUUCUCAAGAAUAGAACGGCAAAAAAGAGCAGGAUAAAAAGGAGAGCUGUACGGGACAAAAGAAGAAAGCCUAGAAAACAAUAGCGAGCAAGCAGCUCGAGGCACCCGCGCUAGUAGUACAAAAGCCAAGGUGCAAUUUCGCAAGCUCUAGCUAGACGCUUCCACUUGGUCAUUUCCCACCUGGAUUCUUAAGCUCUUGGGCUAAGGUGGUAUAUUAUUUGGACUCUUGAAGCCUCAAGCCUCUGAAUUUGCUCACUGAGAACAAGUCCUAUGGAAGACUCCAAAAAGAGACAAGCCCUUCCACAGCUGCUAGAUCUUAUCCCGGAUGAGAAAGAAUGGAAGGCGAGGGAAGCACAAGUGCCAGGGAGAUCAAGAAACACAGCCUUUGGGGCCGAGGAGGACAAGAAGCUAGAGCUAAAACUCGGUCUUCCAGGUUUCAUAGAAAAAGAUAUAGCAGCAAUGUCAAGAGAUGAAGGGAUACAGCAAGAGAGCCCGGCUCUCUCUCUUGGUUACUUCCCUAAACCCUCGAAGUCUACCACCAACAGUACAACAACUGGGACAAAGAGGGGAUUCAUAGACACUGUUGAGGCCAAAACAAAAGGUUGUAAUGAGCAGAAGCAGCAGGUCAGAGCGGGAUGUGGGAACAAACUAGCACUGGAGGAAAAGAUAGCAGCCAUGAGCGAGAGAAAGAAAGGAUGCUGCCCACGACCAUCGCAUGCCCCUCCUGCUGCAUCUGUGCGCAACAGCGGCAACAGACCACAGGCCCAGGGAAGAGGGGCUUCAGCUCCGGUGGUAGGUUGGCCUCCAAUCCGAUCCUUCAGGAGAAACCUUGCUAACAGCAAUUCAUCCAAACAACCCCCUGGACCGCAAAAUGGUGAAACUAGCGCGACGGCGAAACUCACCUGCAAGAAGAAUCCUCUCGUAAAAAUCAACAUGGAUGGGAUCCCCAUUGGAAGGAAAGUAGACCUUGUAGCCUAUGACAGCUACCAGAAGCUAUCAGUGGCUGUCAAAGAGCUUUUCCAUUGUUUUCUUGAAGUUGCAGUUCAAAAGGAUAAAUCUAGUGCUGAAGGUGGACAGUACGGAGCAGAUGAAAAAAUAUUUUCUCAAUUAUUGGAUGGAUCUGGUGAAUAUACUCUAGUUUACGAAGACAAUGAAGGAGACAAGAUGCUAGUGGGGGACGUGCCAUGGAAGUAAAGCUUCCUUAUUCCUUUGCCAUAUACAAUUUAGCCACACCCUAACAAGAUAAAAAGAAAGCACACACCCUGCCACCAUGAUUUAUUAUGUACCUGAAACUACAGUAGACUUUUUUUUUCACUUCAGUGUCUUCGUCUCAAAUGCCAAAAGGCUGAGGGUUCUGAGGAGCUCAGAACUUUCCCAUGGCCUGAUUGGAGCGGCUCCUAAAAGAAUAGCAAAUUGCUGAGAUGGUGACAUAUUUUCAAUCAUUUGGAAUGACUUCAAAUUGAAGCUGGUUCAUUCUCCUCCCAGGAUGACACCUAUAUUUGCCUGUAGAGAUUAAUCUAAUGAGACGAACUAGCAUAUUUCAGAUGCGUGGAAAUACGCAGGCUAUUUUGUAAAUUAGGUUAUCAUGUGCUUUAAUGCCAUAGGUAAGGUGCUAAAAAUAAUUCUAAAUGGUUUGAGCAUUGGGAUUUUGAUAGAGGCGCAUAUGUAGACUCAAGGUUUACUCCUGUAAAAUUCCUUGUUCUGUGUGAUACUUGUAUUCGGUCCUACUGUAAUCCGAAGUGCAAAUCUAAUGUUCAGACCACAAUGGUUAGGUUGCA